rnacentral:tRNA from 1 species
GUUCUCGUAGCUCAACGGAUAGAGCGUUGGCCUCCGAAGCCAAAGGCUGCAGGUUCGAUUCCUGCCGAGAACA